rnacentral:lncRNA from 1 species
GUUUCUGAUGUUUCUUCCUUCUGGAAAGCUAGUAUAUGGAGAGUGCAUUUUUACCAAAGAAAUAAUGUUACUAUUCGUGUGUCUGGCCUCCUCUCUUCACUAUAAACCAUGGGAGCAGGACCUGUGUUCUGAUCAUCUGUGCACCUCCAUGCCUUCAGAGAGCACCUGCUAUGCAGCUAUUGCUCCAUAAAUGUUGGUGGGAGGGAGGACUGAGAGAGAAAGGAAGGAGGAAGGAAGGGAAACCUCUUACCCUCUACAACUUAGAAAGCACCUGCACAACCCACUCCCACUUAGUUUGAUUUCCCAUCAGAGGGCACUGGGGCCUCUCCCUGAGGAAUUUCCUUGGAGCUCUCUUCCUACUGCUGUCUGCGCGCUCACGUCUGCUAUGGAUCAGCAGCACAACACGAGGGUCCCCAGCCACCUAGGGCACGCGCCACUGAGGGAGAAACCCAUCAGGAGGAAAGUCACAGAUUCAGUCAUCCUUCAAUUCAGCUUCACCAGCCUGGAGACUCUUCUGUGAAGUCUGCAUCCCACAGAUUUCUUUGGAGACAUACCUGGACCACACUCCACACAACCGCCUGAAGCUGGAGCCCCGUCAGACAUCUCUCUGAACUGACCUCUCACCUGCUGGGCUGCUGCAUGUUUCUUACAGGUUCUUCUCUGUUCUGGUCAGAUAACCACCUUCACGGGUUCCUCCACGAUACUUCAACAUCCGGGUGGCAUUGAAGUGGCAGAAGCGGCAGCCGUAUGACACUGUUGGCUUAUACAGAAUUCACAGCCAGCUGACCCUGUUAGGUUCUGUUGACGUGAGCUGCUAAGUCAACAACUGAUUUUGGCUUCGUGUUUUGGUGUUGUUUACAUUUGCCCCUAUUAAAUUCCAUCACUUUUGGCCUUAUCAUUCCAGCUGGUGGUGAUCGCCUUGAGGUUUCAUUCUGUCCUUUCAGUUCCUCAACAGAGUGGAAACAAACAGCGUACACAGGCUUUACGGGCAGCCUACGAAAGAGUCAACACCAUGUCUAUACUAGGGCUUUAAUUCACUUCUUAGCCUUGAGAUACCACUGGAUGUGACCUGCUGUACAGCCUUUUUGGGCUCAUUUUUAUAAGAGUGGGACAUGCCCAAUAAUUACCAUCUUAUCCCACCCCACCUCUACCCUUGGGCUCCCCCCACAGUGCUCCCUGGCUCAGUAAAUGGCACCAUCACCCCCACCACCACCACCAGGCGGCCGAGCCAGGAACUGAGGAGUCAUCCCUCAUUCCUCUUUCCCCUUCAGGCCCUGCAUGAACUCAGUUCCUUAGUCCUAUCAAUUGAUGCUCCCUCCUAAAUAAAGUCGUGCAGCCACCACUCCCUCUUACGUUUCAGCCGCACCUUCCAACACUCUUCCUCCUCCUUCCUCUUUUUAACUUCCGCACUCAGGCCUCAGCUGCAACCUCACUUUCUCCAGGACGGUUGCUUGUCCCGUAGAUUAGAUUGGGAGCUCCUGCCGGCAGCUUCCCCAACAGGAUGCUUUCUCUAAUCUGUCACCCAACUCACUGCGUGUUGUUGCUUAUUUAACUCUUCUCAGCCACAUCUAGGUUCUAUGAGGAUGGGGAAGGAGUCUGUUCUGCUCAUCAUCAUAGUCCCAGCAUAUAGUAGAUGCUCAAUAAAUAUUUCUUGCAUUAUUAAAUUAAGUAAUGUUACCAUGACCUUAGUAGGGCAAGUUUGGCUCAACAGCCAUGAGGCAUCCUGGCAUAAAGGGAAGAAUCCCAGAUUUGGCUUCUAACAAGCAGUGGGAGUCACGUCACUUAAACUCUAAGAGCCUCUGUUUCCUCAUCUGAAAAGUGGGAGUAACAAUUUAUCAUAUGAGAUUGUCACAAUGUUCAAAGGAAAUUAUGCAUGUGAAUGUGCUCCCAAACUAAAAAGUAUGGUUCUUGUCCAUGUAUAACGAUGGACACCAGUCCCUCCAGGAGGGGCCCGGUCCUGACUUCAGAGCUUGUACCAAGGACCCCCAUGGGCUCAAGCUUGAGCACUGGUUCUCAUCAUUUGGGGUUCAGUACUAAGUCCAACAGGUCUUUUUUUAUUCCUUCUCCACCUUUUCUGCUGUCCUCAAUCUGCUGUCCUGGGCCACUUCCAAAAGCUUUCAUAACCGCCACUUCUACUGCACUCUCUUGAUGGAGGGUUUAAUGAUCCCGAAGGCCCUAGAAAUACAUUGAAUUAAAACACAAAAUGGACAGCAUUGUGCAUUUUAUUGAAACAGCAAUUAGGAACGGCAGUCACCAUGUACUCGGAGGGCAAGAGAGCCGGAGAGAAAAAGAAUAAAGUGACCUCAUAAAGACACUUAAUUUCAUUACCACCAGACACGGCUUCCCAUUAUUGCUCUUGGUGUUUAAU